rfam:Gossypium raimondii Chr08_contig_1011, whole genome shotgun sequence.
UGUUAAAAAUUUCAUCAAUUUUUUUUAUUAAAAAUUGACAUGACGAAUAAAUUAACCAAAUAGUUAUACGAGGCGUGACCCGUAAAUUUCAUGUCAACAUACAUGGGUCAGUUUUUAACUGUAAAAAUGAAUGAAAUUUUUAACA